GAAAUUUCAAGUAAAAAUUCCAAUUGAAUACCUGGGGAUGAUAGGACCGAAGAAAUUUACCUUGCCAUUUUGUCCUGGCAGCAGGGGACUUCACUGAAUUUCACACACCAAAUUUAAGUGAAUGCCUCUGGUAUGCCCGAGGUGGGGGUCUCGAAUUCUUGUGUCAUAUUGGAUGAGAUCAUGUAUUUACACUGUUUCCUGUCAACAGUUCAGAAUAGAAU